rnacentral:lncRNA from 1 species
GGCGGGCUAUAAGUUCCCUUAAGGUGUUAGAGAAAACAAAAGUGCUGACUUAACUUGAAUUUUUGGGGGAGAAUUUGUGUGUUUCUUAAACCACCGUACUGUUUUAGGACUGAAUAAUGCAGGUUGUAAUUAAUCCUUUUUAGUAUUUAUUAGAGUAUGCAGAGUGAUAGAGUAUAAUUGAAGCAAAGAAGCAGCACGUUCCACAGUGCCUGGGGUACCAGGAACAUUCUAGAUGGAGGAAUGCACCAGCUGGUCCUGGGAGACAAGUGGAGGCCAAUCAGGAGAGGAUGGUGCGAAUGAGGGUGGUAAAGGAGAGUGAUCAAAAGGAGAAAAAGAAGGCAAAACCCCAGAAACAGAGGGAGGAAAAAUGUAAAAGGAAAGAAAGAUUGUUGCAUUGAUGGACUUUCGGGAGAUAUUUCAGGUUUUGUACUCUCAUAUGGAAAGUUUUGUUACAAUACAAAAUGUUGCAAUAAACAGGCAAAUACAUUCGUGCCAUUACUUCUGUAGAACAGAUUUAUGCAAGUGGGUGGAAGGGUCAAAGUUUCCUUUCCCCAAAGUUUGCAACAACUCACGCCCUCACCACCAAAAUGCUAGGGAAGAUCCUGAUUGUUUGACUUGGGUCAGACUGGCAUUGGGAAUCAUCACUGUGCCACAUGGCGCAUGGGAGAUUAACACAUCCACCAGAAUAUUCUGAAGAGAAGAAUUUGAUCUUUCUACUCUACUGAAUGAUUCACAUAGGUACAGGAAUUUUAGGAUUUUUGGAACAGCCUUUUCUACCUCCCUCAGGAUGAUUACAACAUGCUACAGAAGAGCCUGAGAACUAAGAUCCCAAGUCUGUUAAAAU